GACGAACGCUGGCGGCGCGCCUAACACAUGCAAGUCGAACGGAGCGUACUGUGUGAAGCCCUUCGGGGUGGAACUUUGUAUUGCUUAGUGGCGAACGGGUGAGUAACACGUGAGCAACCUGCCUUGAAGUGGGGGACAACAUUUGGAAACAGAUGCUAAUACCGCAUAAGACCACGGAACCGCAUGGUUCUGGGGCCAAAGGAGCAAUCCGCUUUGAGAGGGGCUCGCGCCCGAUUAGCUAGAUGGUGAGGUAACGGCCCACCAUGGCAACGAUCGGUAGCCGGACUGAGAGGUUGAACGGCCACAUUGGGACUGAGACACGGCCCAGACUCCUACGGGAGGCAGCAGUGGGGGAUAUUGCACAAUGGAGGAAACUCUGAUGCAGCGACGCCGCGUGAGGGAAGAAGGUUUUCGGAUUGUAAACCUCUGUCUUCGGGGACGAAACAAAUGACGGUACCCGAGGAGGAAGCCACGGCUAACUACGUGCCAGCAGCCGCAGUAACAC
rnacentral:rRNA from 1 species